CCACUGAGCUCGGCCGAGCCGGUGGAAGUGGACACCGUCGCCGCCUCCGAUGGGCAACAGGCUGGCAAUGACCAAAAGGCAACAGUGGGCACAGGCCGCACCGAGGUGGAGCCCGGGGCCAGGUCCGUGGCCCACAUUUUCCCACAGAACGCCCGU